rnacentral:rRNA from 1 species
UACGGGGGGGGCAAGCGUUGUUCGGAAUUACUGGGCGUAAAGGGUUCGUAGGUGGCCAACUAAGUCAUACGUGAAAUCCCUCAGCUUAACUGGGGAACUGCGUCUGAUACUGGUUGGCUUGAGUGCAGGAGAGGAACGCGGAAUUCCAGGCGUAGCGGUGAAAUGCGUAGAUAUCUGGAGGAACACCGGUGGCGAAGGCGGCGUUCUGGACUGCAACUGACACUGAGGAACGAAAGCCAGGGGAGCAAACGGG